rnacentral:piRNA from 1 species
ACAAUCCUGGAGAAAAUGCACGG